AAACACUGAACAGAUGUUUGUUUAGGAGCCUAAAAAGAAGGUGAAACGUUUAAACAGGGUGAUAAUUGAACUUAGCGUAAUGAAGUAAAUUACAUGAACGUAUGUGAUCUUUAUUGUGAGCAUAGAGCAGGUGAAUUGAGUUUGAACCUAAAGGAAGAGAUAAGGAUGGCAGCUGCAAGCAAUGAGUUUACACUCACUGGUCCUCAUGUGAUAAAACAACAUGACUCCUCUGCUGUCACUCUCUCAUGCCAUCUGUCUCCUAACAUCAGUGCUGUUAACAUGGAGAUCCGGUGGUUGAAGGGCACAAACUGUGUUUGUGUCUAUAAGAACAGACAGGAGACAAAGGGGAGAGGUUACGAGGAGAGAGUGAGUCUGUUCACUCAGGAGUUGAGGAGAGGAAACGUCUCCUUACAGCUGAGAGACUGUAAAUGGUCAGAUAGAGGACAUUACCUGUGUCAGGUCACUGAUGGAAACAGAACAGAGGAGUUUACAGUAAAAGUAAAAAUGAAUCCUUUCUCAUGGGUAAGUAAAUAACGAUAACACUUCAUGGGUUUGGGAGACUGAAGACAUGGUAGACAUGCAAGGUACUUUGACUGGUGUCUAUUUUUACUUUCACUUUUCAGCAUAGCUUCUUUUCUUUUGGGUCUCACACUGAGAUAAACCUCAACAUGAACACACUCACUCAUGCACACACAUGCAGCUGUGUACUGGUUUUGACUCUCUCCUCCUUAUCCCUGAGCAUUGGCAACCUUCAUGCAGUGGAGCCACUGAAGCAGGCAUGAUCUGAACAGAAAGUGAAAGGGCAUACCAGCAGGUAAUACUGGAUGGUGAGGAGUACCCACUUGAUUGCCAGACACUCCUAUUUCAAUGGUGCUGUACUUUGUCUCCCAUACUGAGAGCGUGUGGAUGGUCUACAGCACCAGGCACUCCUCCCCCUCCAUCCUUUGGGACAAAAUGGCCCCCAGCUCUCUGUCCGACAUGUCAGUCUGCAAAAUAGAAAAGUCAGGAGAUUGCAGUAGUAGCCCUCCGCAGAGUGAAGAUUUUCCCUAAGUGAAAGCCUGUUGGCACAGCUCUGUCCACUGGACUGGAUCUGGCACUCCUUAUCAUUCAACAGGCUGGUGACAUCCGAAUAGUUUGACCUCUUUUUUGGCCUUGCAUCCUAAAACCACUGUGGUUUUAUCAGUCUGUGGCCACACCUGCCUGUGACACAAGUGGAAGCCCAGAUACCAUACUUGCACCUGUCUAACCACACACUUUUUUGGGAUCACCGUGAGCCCCACCCAUAUCAACAAUUUCAGGACAACCCUCAGCUGCUGCCAGUCAUUACUAUAAAUAAUAAUGUUAUUGAGAGAGGCCGCAGCGUGUGGAUGGAGAAUUCUGUCCGUGAGCCACUGCAGCAUUGUAGGGGCCCCAAACAACCCAAAAGGAAGUGUCACAAAUUGGUGGAAAAGGCAGUUUUUUCAUGGGAUAUGGGAGUCAAGGGGAUCUUCUAAUAUCCCUUUGUCAAAUCCAGUGUCAAAAUAAAAACAAGCCAUUCCUAACCAAUCAAGCAGUUUGUUAAUGCAAGGCAUUGGGUAUGUGUCAAAUUUAGACUUUUCUAAAAUCUGCGCAGAACCAGACCGAUCUGUCAGACAUGGGCACCAAGACCAUUGGGCUGUUAAAUUCACUGUGUGACUCCUCAAUUAACCCCAUGCCAAGCAUAGCCUUGAAUUCAUCCCGAAACACAUUUUUCUUGUAUUCGGAGAGACAAUGGGGUUGCUGCAUAUCACCACCCCUGGAGGCAUUUUUAUAUGGCGUUCUAUGAGGAGUGCAACUGGGCAGAGAUGAGAACACACCAGAAAAUUCCACCUGUAACUUGGCAACCUCUGCAAUUUGGGACAGUGAGAGGUGGUUUGCACAAGGGACCGGGAUGGAUUGAACUGCUAUUUUUAGAUUUACCUCUGUUCCCAGCUCCUCCCUCUCUGGAACGACCAUUGCUAAAGCCACAGAGACCGCCUCUAUCCAUGAUUUAAGGAUAUUGAGGUGGUAUAUUUGCCCACCCCAUCUCUAUCCAUUCACACCAACUCAUAGUCAAUCUCCCCAACUCACCCUGUGACCUCAAAGGGCCCUUUCCACUUCUAGAUCAAUUUGGAAUUUGCUGUUGGCAGUAAAACAAGUACAUUAUCUCUCACUGGAAAAAUUCCCAGAUCCUGACAACCAAGCACACUAUGCAGAGGGAGUAGCUUUCAUGUUGGCUGAAGAGGCUCAGAAAGGCCUCAUAGGAUGGGAACCCAUCAACUCUAGGAUCAUAACAGCCAGGUUCCAGAGCAGCCACAAACUCAUCAAACUAUGCAUAAUACAGUGCUAUGCACCAACCAACAAUGCAGAAGAGGCAGCAAAAGAGAGUUUUAGAUGCAGCUGGAGAAAAUCAUCAAAACGCAUAAAGAGAAGGAAGGCUCCAUAUUAAUGAGUGACAUGAACACCAAAGUGGGACAAGAGAACACAGAAUAUGAACAAGUAAUGGGAAAGCAUGGUGUAGGAAACAUGAAUGAAAAUGGAGAGUCAUUUACUGACCUCUGCGCAGAACAAAACCUGGUUAUAGGAGGUACCAUAUUCCCACAGAAACAGAUACACAAAAUGACCUGGGCAUCACCUGAUAAGAUCAUGGAAAACCAGAUUGACCGUAUCUGUAUCAGCUGAAAGUUUAGAACAUCACUGCAGGAAUUCAGAAGUAAAAGAGGAGCAGAUGCUGCAUCAGACCACUAUCUUGUGCUGGCCAAAGUGCAGCUGAAGCUGAAUAAAUGCCAAAACAGAAAGGAUACCAUCAAGUGAUAUAAUGUACUCCAAGUGGGGAAGUGAAAUAAGCAGAGAGAAUUUGAAAUAGUACUGAAAAACCAUUUUGAAGCCCUGUAAGACCUCAGUGAAGAAUAUACAACAAUAGAAGAUGACUGGCAACAAGUGAAACAGAUAUGGGCAGAAACAUGUGACACUGCGGUGAGAAUAAAGAAGCAAGAACACCAAGCAUGGAUAACAGUUGAGACUAUGGGAAAAGUGGAAAAAAAAGAAAACAGCGGAAAUAAAAAGUUAACAACAGCAAGACAAGGGCAGCGAAACAAACAGCACUGGAUGAGUACAAUGGAGCCAAUUGGGAAGUGAAGAAGAGUGCCAGAAGCGAUAAGAGGACAUUCAUUGAAAACAGAGCCAAGGAAGCUGAAGAGGUGGUAGGACAGAGGAAGAUGGAGGCACUAUAUACAGUGGUCCUUGAAAGUUUGUGAACCCUUUAUAAUUUUCUAUAUUUCUGCAUAAAUAUGAUCUAAAACAACAUCAGAUUUUCACACAAGUCCUAAAAUUAGAUAAAGAGAACCGAGUUAAACAAAUGAGACAAAAAAUAUUAUACUUGGUCAUUUAUUUAUUGAGGAAAAUCAUUCAAUAUUACAUAUCUGUGAGUGGCAAAAGUAUGUGAACCUUUAGGAUUAGCAGUUAAUUUGAAGGUGAUAUUAGAGUCAGGUGUUUUCAAUCAAUGGGAUGACAAUCAGGUGUGAGUGGGCACCCUGUUUUAUUUAAAGGACAGGGAUGUAUCAAGGUCUGAUUUUCACAACACAUGUUUGUGGAAGUAUAUCAUGGCAUGAACAAAGGAGAUUUCUGAGGACCUCAGAAAAAGUGUCGUUGAUGCUCAUCAGGCUGGAAAAGGUUACAAAACCAUCUCUAAAGAGUUUGGACUCCACCAAUCCACAGUCAGACAGAUUGUGUACAAAUGGAGGAAAUUCAAGACCAUUGUUACCCUCCCCAGGAGUGGUCGACAAACAAAGAUCACUCCAAGAGCAAGGCAUGUAAUAGUCGGCGAGGUCACAAAGGACCCCAGGGUAACUUCUAAGCAACUGUAGGUGCAAUUGGUAAUUAUUAAGUGAUCAAUCUCAUUAAAUCUGAAGGUUAAUAAUUAAAUUGAAUCAGUCUCAUUUGAAUCAUACCAUUGAAUCAUUCUCAUUGAAUCGUUUUCAUUGAAUCAGUCUCAUAUCAUUAAAUCACUCAUGGAAUCAGUCUCAUUGGAUCAGUCUCAUUAAUUAAUACCAUUAAUUUUGGUGCUUAAUAAUAAAUUACCAAACAGCUAAAUUAUGGUAUAUUCCAAAUUAUUAUGAUCACUUACCAUAUUACAUAAAUCAGAUGCACCUUUGAAUUCUUGGAGAUUGGUUGACUUCAGAAAUAUUGGAACACAAACACACAGUUUCAAUAAUAAAUGAAUUUAUUAUAACAAAGAAAAAUGAAUAAUGGCAGUUGAAAUACAUACAAACAGUGAGAUAUACUUGAUGAGCGUGAGUGUGUGCAUGUUGUGGUGAAGGCAAAAGAUUAGCUUUGGGUGCUAAUUAAGAUGUGUUUGUGUGUGUGUGAGGCCUGGUGACCACGUGUUUCUAAGUAAAACAAGAGAGCUAGCUUUGGUUGCUAAUACAAAGGAAUGCUAGCUAGGGUGUGUUUGAGUGAGUGAGUGUGAGUCCACGUGGUGGAGGCCUUGGGGCCUAGGCAGAGACUAGUGUUGUGUUGCUAGCUAAGAUGUGUUUGUGUGUGAAGCCUGGUGACCACGUGUUUCUAAGUAAACAAGAGAAUUAGCUUUGGUUGCUAAUUAGACAAAAGAAUUAGCCAUAUGUGGCUAGCUAAGGCCCAAGGAUCCUACCUCGUGGAGUUAAGACAAAAGGUGUGUAUGUGAGUGUGGAGGAGGGACGCCACGUGUUCCCUUGAGACAAUACACUUAGCCCUGGAUGCUAAUGGGACAAACGAAUUAGCCAUAGGGUAAUUUCACUAGCUUAUAACAGUACUAAAUCCACUGAAAUCUUGAUGCAGCCAAAAUGUGUAAAAGGAAAUUAAGAUGUUAGUAAGGGAUAGAGAAGCAUGCACAGCCUAUCUAUUAAACAUUUGAGAGAUUAAAACAAAAUAUAAUAAUCAAUUAAAUACCCUGAGGGUCUACAGUGUACACAUUUAAACCGUUCCUGAGUUUAAAUUCACACUGCUUCAUAAAAGCUAAUUCCUAAGACUAGGUUUUGCCCAAAAUGCCAAGCCUUACUGCAGUAUCUUGCCCUUCUGUAGAAAGCAGAGAAUUCUUGGAGAGGCUGAGUUUCACAGGAGCUCGUGGAGCACGUCUGUGGAAAGCAGAGAAUUCUUGGUCCGACGCUUCAUAGCUCAUGGGAAGAAAAACUCUGAUCAAACAAUGUGCACAGUUUUCUUUAGUUAGAAGGGAUCCAGCCGCUUCUUAACUUUAAAUUAGCUGUUUGGACUGCAGUCCGUAUGUACGUGUAACGAAUAACUGAAAACCAGUUGUAACUCAAGCUGAGUUUUAAAAUCGCGCGAUCCGAGAAUCUACCAUGGCCAAAGGUGAAAGGAAAGCACGAAACUCUGAUUCUUGAGGAAAAGAAAAGACGUCUUUAUCUGGUUUUCCCGGUCAGAGCAAGUCUCUCUGUGUCUAGACAGCUUGAAGUCCAAGACGGAAAGAGAGCGAGCUAGGAGUUUCCGGGUUUCUUAUGCUUUCAUGCAGGAUGUGACGUUGGAAAUCCCGCCCACGCGUGAUGUAGGUCAUUGUGGAAGUCGGCUGAUGGGAAAUGUAGUUUUUAAAGGGACUGUGUUGUAGUUCUUAGACAGACUGUGUUACCUACACAACUGAAGGCCUCUCUCACAUUGGCUAAUGAGUCCACCAUUAAGCCUCGGUCACAACCGGCCGUACGUGCUCCUACGGCCGGUCUACGCGCAAAAAACGCAAAGAAACGCAUGGAGGGUGCGCGUGUGACGUGCUGAUUUUCGAGCCGUGGACUGGCCCCAGACCGGCCGCAGAGGUUCUUUGUCAUGUCAAACAAACUCUACGGGCACUUAGGUUUUUUUCAGGUUGCAAGACAAACUUGCGGCCUCGUGUGUCUUCCGUACGGCCGACGUGCGUCUUUCGUACGAUUUGCUGGUGUCAGGUUUGGGCAAAAUGUCAAUUUUUUUCAUACGUCGCACUUGCGGACUCCGUAUGUGUAUUGUGCGCCCCACAUACGUAAUUAGUGCGGCCAACGCACGUUCAGAUAUUUUGUAUGUCAUCCAUGUGUGUCAAGUAAGUCGGCUGUACAUUGGCCGUACGGCGAGAGGGUGUCAGUCGCACGAAAACUCGAGUAUAUAUGUCAGCCUCUAGCUGUGUGGGGAUCUUAUUUUUAUUUUUGCUGUGAUGGUUUGCUGUGAUUUAUUUGGGUUGCUAUGAUUUUGGUGUGUUCACAUAAUUGGUUGAUUGCUGUGAUUUCACUGUGUGCUGCUAAUUGAUUGCUACCUACACUGAUAUUGUAUUUGCGGCUCUCUAAUUGCUUAGAUGGAUCAGCUGUUUGGACAAUUAUUACCUGACCUAUUGAAGCACUUGAAAGACGAAGGGGUGGGGUAUAAAAAGGGGACCUUUUCAGUAUUAAGGAGGAGUUCAACAGGGCAUGAAAUCGUUAAGAGGUGCCUGUGGAUGGUAUGAGGCCGGUAACGGCCCCCGCCCCGCUGGGGACGUGGACUUCUCAGAGACGGGUUGUUUGGGAAUGCAGCCCAAAGAGGGGACGUGGAUUUCUCAGAGUUGGGUUGUUUGGGAAUGCAGCUCAAAGAGGGGAUCGGACGCCACAGUAGAUGCGUAGUUACCAGUGGAAGAUCAGCGGGCAGAUUGAAGGAAGGAACAAACGGACGAAGGAAGGAAGGAAUGAACGAACGAACGAACAUACAGUUUUUUUUUCUUUGCCUGCGCUGUGCUGUUUCCCUGAUUUGCUGCCUUCUCUUGAGGUGCGUCGGCUGCAGACUUAGGAAAUCGUGACCUAGCCAACGGGGAUCUGGAGUCAACUGUACUUAAUUCAACGCUCGCUAACGACAGGGUAAAGGGACAUAAGACUUCUCCUUGCCUGCUGUUUUUGCCUUGUUGCGUACAUCGCCAUUGUUUGAUGCUUUCUCUUUUAUUGCCCGAGGUGUGCGCUGACUCCGGGCGAGCCAUAGACAUUUUUGGGAAUCCCCCGCUGCUACCUGGACGCUGGAGGUGUGACGUCACGCGCAGGGCUUCCCCGCGCAUUAGACUUCCCCACGAUUUCAGCACAUUUGGGACUGGGAUUCCUCUUUGCGCGGACUGCACACUGCUGAGACGGGACAAUUUUAUUUUUCUUUUAUUUUUUUCUUUCUUUGUAGCUUGGUGCUAUUUUUAAAGGAUAAUUUAGUUAUCUAUUUACUAAAUAAAGC